CUUGUGAUAUAGCCUUGGAAGGAAAACAUUAAAAGUGCAGUCUCAAACUCAAGAGCACUUAAGACAUUUGGAGUGCUGAGGGAUCAAACUUCAGAUUUGCCACUCACAGCUGGGGAAAGUGAAAUGACAGCAAAGCAAAGCACAGUGUUGUAAGUACACCUUACUGGGAACACCUUUACACUUGGCACUCUGCUGGUCUGGAGGCUUCAGCCACAGGACCUGGGCACCUUUCAGAUACUGAGUUGACCAUGAACUCCUCUGGAUCCCAAAGUAUUGGAGAGGCUAUCUAGAAUACUUAAGCUUUCCCAGAAUGGGUGGUGCAACAGGACAAUGAUCCCAAGCAUACCAGUUAAUCUCCAAAUUUACAACAGAAUAGCUGACGAAGAAAGAUAUCAAGAUGUUGCAAAGGCCCAGUCAUAGCCGAGACCUGAACCUGACUGAAAUGCUGUGGUGGGAUCUGAAGAGAGCUGUGCAUGAAUGCCUGCUCUCCAUUACAGGUUUCCUACGAAACAACAGGAAGCAGAACCACAGGUACGACGGACUGAGGUACACAUGCUGUUCAGUUCCCCCAAAUCUAUGUUUUAUUUACAAGCAGCUCUGGCUGUACAGAAAUGUAAACCUGUCUGAUAUGUCUUAAUAAAUAGUAAAUUAUUGUGGAAAAAAUUAA